rnacentral:rRNA from 2 species
CUUAACAUGCAGUCGACGGCAGCACGGGGGCAACCCUGGUGGCGAGUGGCGAACGGGUGAGUAAUACAUCGGAACGUGUCCUGUAGUGGGGGAUAGCCCGGCGAAAGCCGGAUUAAUACCGCAUACGAUCUACGGAAGAAAGCGGGGGAUCGCAAGACCUCGCGCUAUAGGGGCGGCCGAUGGCAGAUUAGCUAGUUGGUGGGGUAAAGGCCUACCAAGGCGACGAUCUGUAGCUGGUCUGAGAGGACGACCAGCCACACUGGGACUGAGACACGGCCCAGACUCCUACGGGAGGCAGCAGUGGGGAAUUUUGGACAAUGGGGGAAACCCUGAUCCAGCAAUGCCGCGUGUGUGAAGAAGGCCUUCGGGUUGUAAAGCACUUUUGUCCGGAAAGAAAACUUCUGCCCUAAUACGGUGGGAGGAUGACGGUACCGGAAGAAUAAGCACCGG